rnacentral:rRNA from 1 species
AACGAACGCUGGCGGCAUGCCUAACACAUGCAAGUCGAACGAGACCUUCGGGGCUAGUGGCGCACGGGUGCGUAACGCGUGGGAACCUGCCCUUAGGUUCGGAAUAACUCCCCGAAGGGGGUGCUAAUACCGGAUAAUGUCUUCGGACCAAAGAUUUAUCGCCUUUGGAUGGGCCCGCGUUGGAUUAGCUAGUUGGUAGGGUAAAAGCCUACCAAGGCGACGAUCCAUAGCUGGUCUGAGAGGAUGAUCAGCCACACUGGGACUGAGACACGGCCCAGACUCCUACGGGAGGCAGCAGUGGGGAAUAUUGGACAAUGGGCGAAAGCCUGAUCCAGCAAUGCCGCGUGAGUGAUGAAGGCCUUAGGGUUGUAAAGCUCUUUUACCCGGGAUGAUAAUGACAGUACCGGGAGAAUAAGCCCCGGCUAACUCCGUG